rnacentral:rRNA from 1 species
GAUGAACGCUGGCGGCAGGCUUAACACAUGCAAGUCGAACGGGUGUAGCAAUACAUCAGUGGCAGACGGGUGAGUAACACGUGGGAACCUUCCUAGGGGUACGGAACAACUCAGGGAAACUUGAGCUAAUACCGUAUACGUCCGUGAGGAGAAAGAUUUAUCGCCCUUAGACGGGCCCGCGUCGGAUUAGCUAGUUGGUGGGGUAACGGCCUACCAAGGCGACGAUCCGUAGCUGAUCUUAGAGGAUGAUCAGCCACACUGGGACUGCGCCACGGACCAGAAUCCUGCGGGAGGGGGGAGUGGGGGAUUUUGGAAAAUGGGGGGAAGGCUGAUCCAGCCAUGCCGGGUGAGUGAAGAAAGUGUUCGGAAUGUAAAGCUCUUUUGCCAGGGACGAUAAUGACGGUACCUGGAGAAUAAGCCCCGGCAAACUUCGUGCCAGCCGCCGCCGUAA